GUCCAGACUCCUACGGGAGGCAGCAGUGGGGGAUAUUGCACAAUGCGGGAAACCCUGAUGCAGCGACGCCGCGUGAGCGAUGAAGUAUUUCGGUAUGUAAAGCUCUAUCAGCAGGGAAGAAAAUGACGGUACCUGACUAAGAAGCCCCGGCUAACUACGUGCCAGCAGCCGCGGUAAUACGUAGGGGGCAAGCGUUAUCCGGAUUUACUGGGUGUAAAGGGAGCGUAGACGGCUGUGCAAGCCAGGGGUGAAAGCCCGGGGCCCAACCCCGGGACUGCCCUUGGAACUGCAUGGCUGGAGUGCGGGAGGGGCAGGCGGAAUUCCUGGUGUAGCGGUGAAAUGCGUAGAUAUCAGGAGGAACACCGGCGGCGAAGGCGGCCUGCUGGACCGUAACUGACGUUGAGGCUCGAAAGCGUGGGGAGCAAACAGGAUUAGAUACCCCGGUA
rnacentral:rRNA from 1 species